AGACUCUGGAACCCCCGUGCUCUUCUCCUCAUCUAGUGACCCUGAGGUGAUGGAGUUUUCAAGUCCUUCCAGAGAGGAAUGUCCCAAGCCUUCAGGUAGAGUAAGCAUCAUGGCUGGCAGCCUCACAGGAUUGCUUCUACUUCAGGCAGUGUCGUGGGCAUCAGGUGAGUGGUGCCCCUGCAUCCCUAAAAGCUUCAGCUACAGCUCAGUUGUCUAUGUCUGCAAUGCCACAUACUGUGACUCUUGACCCCCCGACCUUUCCUGCCCUAGGUACCUUCAGCCACUAUGAGAGCAGAAGCAGUGGGCGUCGGAUGGAGCUGAGUACGGGACCAUCCAGGCUAAUUGCACCGGCACAGGUAAACAUUACACCCUUCACCCCCCGGGGCCAGGCUGGGUCCUCCUAGAGAAGUUCCAGAAAGUGAAGGGAUUUGGAGGGGCCGUGACAGAUGCAGCUGCCCUCAACAUCCUUGCCCUGUCACCCCCUGCCCAGAAUUUGCUACUUAAAUCAUACUUCUCUGAAGAAGGAAUCGGAUAUAACAUCAUCCGGGUACCCAUGGCCAGCUGUGACUUCUCCAUCCGCACCUACACCUAUGCAGACACCCCUGAUGAUUUCCAGUUGCACGACUUCAGCCUCCCAGAGGAAGAUACCAAGCUCAAGGUAGAUACCCUGAUUCACCGAGCCCUGCAGUUGGCCCAGCGUCCCGUUUCACUCCUUGCCAGCCCCUGGACAUCACCCACUCAGCUCAAGACCAGUGGAGCGGUGAAUGGGAAGGGGUAACUCAAGGGACAGCCCAGAGGUAUCUACCACCAGACCUGGGCCAGAUACUUUGUGAAGUUCCUGGAUGCCUAUGCUGAGCACAAGUUACAGUUCUGGGCAGUGACAGCUGAAAAUGAGCCUUCUGCUGGGCUGUUGAGUGGAUACCCCUUCCAAUGCCUGGGCUUCUUCCGUGAACAUCAGUGAGACUUCAUUGCCCGUGACCUAGGUCCUACCCUCGCCAACAGUACUCACCACAAUGUCUUCCUAUUCAUGCUGGAUGACCAACGCUUGCUGCUGGCCCACUGGGCAAAAGUGGUACUGACAGACCCAGAAGCAGCUAAGUAUGUUCAUGGCAUUGCUGUACAUUGGUACCUGGACUUUCUUGCUCCAGCCAAAGCCACCCUAGGGGAGACACACCGCCUGUUCCCCAACACCAUGCUCUUUGCCUCAGAGGCCUGUGUAGGCUCCAAGUUCUGGGAGCAGAGUGUGCGGCUAGGCUCCUGGGACCGAGGGAUGCAGUACAGCCACAGCAUCAUCACGAACCUCCUGUACCAUGUGGUUGGCUGGACCGACUGGAACCUUGCCCUGAACCCUGAAGGAGGACCCAAUUGGGUGCGUAACUUUGUCGACAGUCCCAUCAUUGUAGACAUCACCAAGGACACGUUUUACAAACAGCCCAUGUUCUACCACCUUGACCACUUCAGCAAGUUCAUUCCUGAGGGCUCCCAGAGAGUGGGGCUGGUUGCCAGUCAAAAGAACGACCUGGACACAGUGGCACUGAUGCAUCCUGAUGGCUCUGCUGUUGUAGUCGUGCUAAACCGCUCCUCUAAGGAUGUUCCUCUUACCAUCAAGGAUCCUGCUGUGGGAUUCCUGGAGACAAUCUCACCUGGCUACUCCAUUCACACCUACCUGUGGCGUCGCCAGUGUUGGAGCAGAUACUCAAGGAGGCACUGGGCUCGGCCUGGGCAUUAAAGGGACAGAGUCAGCUCACACACUGUCUGUGGCUAAAGAGGGCACAGUAGGGCCAGGGUGAGCUUACAGCGACAUAAGUCCAGGGGCAGUGGUUUGGGUGACUCACCUUCCCCUCUAGGUGGUGCCAGGGGCUGGAGGCCCCUAGAAAAAGAUCAGUAAUCCCCAGUGUCCCCCCAGCCCCCAUGCUUAUGUGAAUGUGCGCUGUGUGCUGCUUGCUUUGGAAACUGGGCCUGGGCCCAGGCCUAGGGUGAGCUCACUGUCUGUACAAACACAAGAUGAGGGGUGGGGGUAAGGAAAAGAAGAGACUAGGAAAGCUGGGCCCAAAACUGGAGACUGUUUGUCUUUCCUGGAGAUGCAGAACUGACCCCGUGGAGCAGCACUGUCAGCAUCAGGGCGGAAGCCUUAAAGCAGCAGUGGGUGUGCCCAGGCACCCAGAUGGUUCCUGUGGCACCAGCCAGGAAAAAUGGCAGCUCUUAAAGGAGAAAAUGUUUGAACCCA